rnacentral:lncRNA from 1 species
GGUGGCGUCUCCGGGCUCCCAGUCGCAGGACUGGUCCUAUCCAGGGCUGGGGGCUUGAGCACCCCAGGAGAUUCUUUUGGAGCUGGAGACCCUUUUCUGAGGAGCCAGCAGAGGGCCUGCAAGUCAGAUUGAGCAACGCGGGAGAAGAAGCAUCAUCCCUUCAUCUUGAGGCCUGGUCCAGGGAGGUGAAGGGAUGUGGACUGUCCCCAGCCGUACACUCACCCACAACUCAUGCAUGCAAGCAUUCAUGCCCCAAUGCACACACUGCACCACACACACACACAUAUUUUCCUUGAAUCUCUCUCUCUCUCACACUCACACACACACACACACACACACACACACAUACUCUCCCAUCCACACACACACAACACUUUAGGAGAAACUGAGCAAAGAAAGGCAGCCUCUCACUGCGAGUCCUCUAACCCCCGUCCCAGUGGUUGUUGUGCACUGAAGCUUCCUUGCCAGGGGCUCUGACGGGAUUCUUGUGUUAAUAUGAUUGUGUCCAUGCUUGUUUUCUCCCAUCAAUUUUCAAUCCUGUUUAAUUAAAACGCUGACUUUCCUGUUUAGUAUCUUCUCAACUGCAGCUUCUCCCUGCUCUCUUUCCUGGCAGGGAGGUGAUUCUGCAGAAGUUGGGGCUCCUGACAACUUUGGGGUGGCCAUGAGGGACGUACCUCUUGCCUCUGGUUGUGCAGGGUAGGCAUGGGACCCUGGCAGGGAGGGGCUCCCUCAAUGGGAUUCUGUGGAGUCAGCCAUUGAUGCCCAGGUCUCCACCCUUACAAUUCCAUUCCUUUCAUGGAAGCCUUUUUUCCUGCUAAAAAGGAUGUGGCUUUUAAAAUGUUACAGAUUCCAAUUCAUCCUGUCCAUCCCGAACUCCUGUGCCAGACAUUCCUUCAUUCAACCUCUGUUUAUUGAGCACCUACUUGGGCCAGGCACUGGGACUGGGGAAGCCAACAAGACAUAGAUUUUCUGUCCCCCUGGAAAGUGACAGUCAGUUUGAGAAACAGACAAGGAAACAAACAAUUCCAGUGCAGUGUGGCAAGCGUCACAAUGGGAGGGAGAGGAGAGCACUCUUGGAGCACAAGAGAGGAGCGUUUACCCUAAAAUCACACUCUAGAGAGCAGCAAGGUGUGUGCCAGGGAAGGCUUCCAGGAGACUGGUUUCCAGGCCCUUUUGGUCCAUCCUUAGGACAAACACACACACACAUGCACACAUAUAUGCACAUACACGAACACACACAUGUGAACACACAGGCACACACAUCCACACACACGCACAUACAUGCACACACAUGCUUUAACACACAUGCACACACGCAUGCACACACAUGCUUGGAGUGAAAGUUUCCGAAGCAAUAAUUACCCCAAAAAUACUCUGAUGUUUUCUAUUGUAUCCUAAUUCAUUUUUGAAAUGCUGGUU